UACGUAGGUGGCAAGCGUUGUCCGGAAUUAUUGGGCGUAAAGCGCGCGCAGGCGGUUUCUUAAGUCUUGUGUUUAAUCCCGGGGCUCAACCUCGGUUCGCAUGGGAAACUGGGAAACUGGAGUGCAGGAGAGGAAAGUGGAAUUCCACGUGUAGCGGUGAAAUGCGUAGAGAUGUGGAGGAACACCAGUGGCGAAGGCGACUUUCUGGCCUGUAACUGACGCUGAGGCGCGAAAGCGUGGGGAGCAAACAGG
rnacentral:rRNA from 1 species